rnacentral:rRNA from 1 species
GACGAACCGUGCAAACGUUGUUCGGAAUCACUGGGCUUAAAGGGCGCGUAGGCGGCUAACCACGUCCGGGGUGAAAGCGUUCGGCUUAACCGGACAAGUGCCUGGGAUACGGGUUAGCUUGAGGGAGGUAGGGGCCUGCGGAACUUCCGGUGGAGCGGUGAAAUGCGUUGAUAUCGGAAGGAACGCCGGUGGCGAAAGCGGCAGGCUGGAUCUCUACUGACGCUGAGGCGCGAAAGCCAGGGGAG